rnacentral:tRNA from 1 species
GCGCCCGUAGCUCAGCCCGGAUAGAGCACUAGCCUCCGGAGCUAGGUGUCAGAGGUUCAAAUCCUCUCGGGCGUA